UACGUAGGGUGCAAGCGUUGUCCGGAAUUAUUGGGCGUAAAGAGCCCGUAGGCGGUUUGUCGCGUCGAAUGUGAAAACCCGGGGCUCAACCCCGGGCCUGCAUUCGAUACGGGCAGACUAGAGUUCGGUAGGGGAGUCUGGAAUUCCUGGUGUAGCGGUGAAAUGCGCAGAUAUCAGGAGGAACACCGGUGGCGAAGGCGGGACUCUGGGCCGAUACUGACGCUGAGGAGCGAAAGCGUGGGGAGCAAACAGG
rnacentral:rRNA from 1 species